rnacentral:lncRNA from 1 species
AACCAUAGCAAUAGGGCUUCUUGAAUGUCACCCAUGGCUAUGGAUCUUUGUGUGUUUUCUGCUCCUUGCUAAUGUCCAACAUGGGACUUGUUUCUACCUUCCUGGUGUUGCACCUGAAGAUUUCCAUAAGGUGAUUCCAUUUUCUUUUCUUUUUUUGUUACUUAAAAAAAAUGAUUGUGCCAUUCUUGAAUUUGCAUGGUCAUGCCAUUCUCUUGUUUAAAUUAAAUCAUGGGUCAGAUCAGUAUUGGUCCUAUUCAUUUGAUGCUAUAUAUAUUUUUUGUUGCUGUUUUGUUAUGAACAUUGAAAAUGUUUGAUUUUUCAAUUAAUGAUGAUUUUGGUUUUUAGGACACAUUUGGUGGAUUCAUGAAAUGAGUCUUUUUGUUCAUCCUUCUCCGUGGAUUCAUGAGAUCUGAGUUUUUUUUUUUUUGUUCUUCCUUCUACUCUAUAUGUGAUUUUGUGAUUGGUUAAAAAAUAUAUUGAAGUUAAAAUUUAAUUUUGAAGUAUUUUUCUGAGUAAUUAUAACUUAUGGCACAUGAAGUGACACCCAUUAUGGGAUAGAAGAUAUUCUCUAGUUUUAAGGAAUAUGAUAAAUCCUCCUACUAAUCUUCCUUCCCACCAAAAAAUGAUACUUUAUUUAUUAAUGAUUGGUUUACAAUUGGCAUGUGUCACUAUUUUGUGGGUAGGAUGAUUUGUAACUGAUUUAGUAGGAAAAUAUAUUAUUAUUCAAGUUUUAAAUAUAAGUCCAUAACUACUAUAGAAGCCAAUAUUGUAAGGUUUUGGGAGUCACCAAAAUCUUAUCACGACUGCCUUUAUAUUGAUUAUAAUUGUGUGAAACGUAAUGAUUUUAAAGUUUUAAAAACUAUUACAGAAAUAGUUAUUUAAAUAUGGAUAUAUCUAGAUAUUUAUAUCCAUCUACACUAAGUCACUAACACAACUCUACAUUGUCCUCGGUAUGUUUUUCCAAGUAUUGACACAUUCAUGAGGAUCUUUCAGCAAUGAUCCUGUCCUCAAUGAUUAUUUAGGAAAGGGAACUGUAUCCUUGAUAUAGAUCUUGGGAUAUAAAGUCAUUCCUUUCGUAAAUAAGUUGAGUUAUGUGCUACUAACCUUUGCCAUAAGCCCAUAACCAACUCAACAAUUUAACUUGAGAUUUUACAGCAUACACUUUCUUUCCUGUAUAUAUGCAAAACAAAAUGUGGAAUAUAUGCAAAACUUUAAUAAAACUUUAAAGUUUCUGUAUCAAGGAUACAGCAUACACUUUCUUUCCUGUAUACAAUUUCUUUCCUGUAUAUAUGCAAAACUUUAAUAAAAACAAAAUAAUCUAUCUUUAAAAAGCUCUCUUAAUAGGGAAUACAUUUUGUCCCAAAAUGUGUAUCACUUCAUAUACCUCGUUUCUCAAUAGUAAGAAAAUAUAAAGUUAAUAUAUAUUUAAUUUUAGUUUUACUUUUCUGACCAACGAAAAACAAGAGGUACAUGGAGUGAUACAAACUUCAGAACAAAAGAUGCGGUGUUAGUCAAUUAAUAGAGAAGGAAAAACAUGUUUGAACUUUGAACAUAUAGGUAACAUGACCUAGGAUCCCCAGUUAUUAUCAUUUUUAUGUCUAAGUGAUCAUUUAUUCUAAAUGGAUUCCAAUCAUAAAAAGAACAACGGUGAUAAUGUAACUUCCAUUACAUAUCUGCCAACAAUUGAACUCAACAAUAAAAUUGUGAACAAUUCUGAGAACAACUCUGUGGCAGGCCUAACAUCACAGUUACUUGGCUUAAUGUUUAAUUUACAAAGCAGAGGCAGAGAACAACUGCAACUGGAAUAAUAAUCAUUGUAUAAUUGUUUUUUGAACUUUCACUGAAAGUUUAACUAAAAUAUAGUCAUUAAUACAAACAUGCAUUUUAAGAGAGUAGUUAAACAUGCCGGUUUAGUCAGCCUCGUCUGCAGUGAAGUCGGGCUCAGGAGGCUUCUGUAGUUUCACUAACUCCCUUGCAGUCUUAGCAUUCCGAUUGCGAUGCACACCACGAAGAGCAUUAGCUGCAAAUCUUGAUGCCAAGAAGGUGGCACCUAUACUGUAUGACCCACCACUCCCAUUGUUGCGAGUUCCUUUUGACUCCUCGGAUUCUUCCUUUCGUUGAAGUUCCAUAGUUUUCCUUUUGGAAUAACGACGCCAUGCUGCUUGGAUAAAGCAUGCAGCCCAUGUCCUCCAUUGUUGGGAGUAGAAGCGGAAGGUGUGUUGAACCUGUCUACUGUGAAGGCGCCUAAACUGACUGGCAACAAAUUUUAACUCUUCAGCAAUUAAUGCGAAUGCCUCAACCUCUGUUAAAGCCUCAACGGUUCGAGUAGAAGAUGGGAGGUUCGACCCAGAUUUGGGAUCCAAUGCCCAUGUUAAAAGCUCCUCACCGCAGAAGUCGGCCUCUUUCAAAAAACUGCGAUUAAAAAAACCACUCCUCCCACCAUCUGUGGUAACACUCUCAAGACGACCGCGUAUGAUGAAAAGCAUCUCAUCAACUGGAUCUCCUUCCCGAACAAUGUAAGUUUUCUCUGUAAAUAGACAUGGCUUCAGUCUCUCACAUAUGGCAUCAAGCAAUCUUUCAUCCAUACUCUCAAACAAUGGAACCUACAAAUCAAAGAAAAGCAAUUAAUAAAUUAACAAAUUCGAAAACUCAGCACCAAUUUGGCGAGCUAAUCUAAGAGGGAGAACAACUUUGAAAGAUCUCAUAGAAGACAUUGCAUGAUUGGAACAUCUCCUAGUUAAAGAAUUGAGUGACUUAUCACUUUUCCUCUGAUUCGGCGUUUAUUGGGAGACACAAAAGGUACCACAGGCUAGACAAAAAAGUAAGCUAGCAUAAACUUCACAUCAUUUAAUAACAACUUUGUAUUAGUUCAUGUAUGACCCAGGAAAAGAUCAUGAGCGGUUACAUGAACAGGGGAACAGAGAAAGGACCAAACAAUUAAUUCAUGCAACAGGACCGUUGGUUUCCUUACAUAGUUGUAAUACCAUAAGCAUGUAACAAAAAACUAUUAACCACAUGUGAAUUCUUUAUACAUAACUCCUUGGCUCCCCUCUUUUUAGAAAAUAAUUUAGACCCUUUUUAGUUUCAAAUUUGAGUUAGGGGGCAUUUUUGGUGUUUUGCUAAUUUUAAAGUGUUCGACAUCAUACCCUUCUCACUAAAGCUAGACAGAGGUGACGCUUAAUGUCUCUUCGAAGAUCCUUUGGUAGACUCUGAACCAAACUUUCUUCAUCUACACCACGUGUGGCUAACCACUUAUAUUGAUCAUAUCGUCUCACACGCUCUCUAAGCUCUUGUGGGAGCAAGCGAUGAUGCAUCCACUGUUCUGAAUCACGCCUUUUGACUCUCAUCUCCUCAAGCCUAAUGGUAAGAGACUGAAGAUAUGUCUGUAAUCAUAUAAAAAGAACCUCAGUAUCAGUUACAAAUAAUCUGCUCUUCAUGCUUGCGAAUAUAAACUUCGAAAGCCGUUUAAAAUCCAGUCUAUAAGAAGAAGAAACAAUAUUUAGAAAACUAGCAAAAUACAUUGAACAACAUUCAAUUGUCUUUCCUCAGUAUGUGCACAUGUGAAUGUACAUUUGUUCUAAACCCUUCAUGGAGAACCAUCUUAGACCUUUCUUAGUAUGAAUACUUUCAAUUCUGAAAAAAGAACAGAGAAAAUCUAGCAACAAUGGCAUUCAUCUUAAACUAUACAUGAUUUAGCCGAUGAAAAAGAUAUGUGGCAAAAAAUCGAACUUUUCUCAAGGUAACGUAUAGCAGAUCAUAUGUCAACUCCAGCUGCUCAUACAAAAAAUUCUAGAUAACUGUGGAGGCUAGUACACUAUUUAAUGUCCUUUAAUCCAACUCACCUACCUCAUUCACAUGUUAAACUAAUUGAUCUUAUGUAUACCUGCAUGUUACCAAUCAGAAGCGCAAAGAGGAUAAGGCCAGAUAUGGCUAGUGCUAUUGAAAAUAUGACCUCCCCGGGAUAGGUACUAGUUUGAAGCCCCUGGCCAAGUGUACUGCAGUGAAGUAAAUGAACAAAAGUAAGUAUUGAUGUAUGACUAGCCUUAGUAAUCUACGCAAAUGGAAAAGAAAAUGAAACAUGGGAACAUAUGAUAUCAUCAAUGCUAAAUCGUUGAAAAAGCACACACUUUGGGUGAAUUCCCUAGUAUUUGAAAACAGCCUCUCUGAAAGAUACAAACUAUUCAAGAAAGUAUUUAUCUAAAAAAAUUAGGUCACGGAACAUUUGCAUUUUAACAGAUAAACAUAUAUUCUAUAUAUAUAUAUAUAUAUAUAUAUAUAUAUAUCCAAGGAUUUGGAACCAUGCUGAGUUAACAGAAGAAAUGAUCAAUUUUUUGAGAGAAAUCUUGAAAACAAGCACAAAAGUUGUAUGGGAUAGAACUUAAAAUUUCAUUAAGAGUAAUAUUAUAUAGUUGAUAUGUUCAAUUUUAUAUCUUCAACUUUGUAGUUUCAAAGGAAGAACAAGGCACCUAGAUGUCAAACCCCCAUAAAAACUAGUGGCCAUUCUUCAAACCCCAUAAAAACUAUUAAUUAUAUUUAAUGACCGGAAUAACUAACAUACUCUUAGAUAUGCAUUUUUGAGGGCUCAUUCGGUAGUUAUAGACUCCAAAACAGUAAUGAGUACUCUAAUCUUUAUUUCACAAUAGAAAAAAAAAUAUUAGGGACAAGAUAGGAUAUUUAGGAAGAAUACAACUAGGCGUGGGAAAAGAUAUCUAAAACAUAAGUCUUAUAAUUAUAUUUAGAGAGAUUUUGGAACCUAAACCUCAUAAACAUGAAAUAGCAUGUAAUUAAAAUAAAAGAAUUCACUUUCUAUGCAAUUUAUUUACAGAAACCUUAUCCAACCAUAUAGGACAAAGGUACGUAGUACCCCAUAAUGCCACAAGAACAUAAUUCCUCUGAUGAUUCAGACUGACUUAACUUUUCUUUCCACUAAGCUUUUCAAACUUACUCGUGACAUUUAUGAGAAAUUUUGGCAAGUCAAAAAAUCUUGCAUCUAAUUAUCAGAUUUAUUACAGAGACAGCAUAUUUGUGUAAGGAACAUUCAAAAGGAACAGAGCUACCUAAGUAGAAUUUAAGCUACCUACCAGGUUAGUAAACCAUAAGAACCACAGUUUUUCAAUCCAAUUUGAUUAACCAUUGUGCUGAUCUCACCUAGUGGGAUUAAGGCUUGGUUGUUGUUGAUUAACCAUUGUAUUUUGUUCUGCCAAAAAUAAAUCUUUAGAAGGGCCAUUUAGACUACAUAAUUCUUUCCCUUAGAGAGGUCUUCCACUUUCUCAAAUUAGUGGGCUGAAUAAUUCAUACUGGAAAAGGAGUUGUACAUCUAAUUUGAUUAAUCCCGACACAUACUCAAAAAAAUUAUAAUUAAUCCAAAAAUGUGCAUGCUUCUGCCGAAACACUCAAUAUGCCAGUACUCAGCUCAGACAAAAUAUGCAUGCUAUUUGUUUUAAUUAAUCCAAAGGAAACGGAAUUAAUUACCUCAAGUUCUGGAGCCCCCACCAUAAACAGUAACAGUACUUCGAGAAGAACUUCUUAGAUGAAACAAUACCAGAUGACAAGGCUUGACUGAAAAUUCCAUAAUCAAAAGGUGCAUUAUCACCUGUAGAGCACUCAGAAUUGAGAAUACCUUCACUUUUAUCCUGCCAGGCACUAUAACCAUUCAUGUAUUGGUUGCCACAAUACAAGAAGUUUUUAUCACACACAUUAUCAAUAGAUUCGCUACAAGCCUUCUGCCAGCAUGAGUCAUUGCGUUCAACAGCUAACAAGUACCAAAAUGACCCAACUAUCUGCAAAGAACCAUUGAUUGAAAAGAAAAAAUAAUAAGUUCCUGGGAAAACUGAUGCACUAUAAAGCUAGAUAGCAAGAACAAUUGCAUUACUAAUGGAUGUGUAUAAUUACAGAAAUAGAAAAGGACCGGGAAAACUAACAGAAUUGAACACACAAAAACUUACAUGGCUGGCAAGCAUGAAUAAGAG